UCUCGCAGCCCUCCUUGGGCGUUUCCUCCCUAGACUUCGGGCCGUUCGCGAGAGCGGCCUUUUUUUUGGCCCGC
rnacentral:sRNA from 1 species